UACGGAGGGUGCGAACGUUAAUCGGAAUCACUGGGCGUAAAGCGCGCGUAGGCGGUUUGUUAAGUGGGAUGUGAAAUCCCCGGGCUUAACCUGGGAAUUGCAUUUCAAACUGGCCGACUAGAGUACGGUAGAGGGAGGUAGAAUUCCUGUGUAGCGGUGGAAUGCGUAGAUAUAGGAAGGAAUACCAGUGGCGAAGGCGGCCUCCUGGAUCGAUACUGACGGCUGAGGCGCGAAAGCGUGGGGAGCAAACAGG
rnacentral:rRNA from 1 species